UGCAACAGAGAGACAUGACAAAUGCAUAAACAGCAAAUGUGCAGCAGAUACAUGAACCAUGCAAAUUUACAGCAUAUCAACUAAAUUAGUACAUAUAUUCAGUCACUUUUCUCUCUCUCUUUCUGGGAAUAUGCAUUUUUGACUUUAGAAUCAAUUCUGAAUUUGAGUCCUGUCUCUCCAAAUGGAAAUCUCUUGACCUGUUGCAGCGUGGUUUCAUUCCUCAGCCACAGUACAGUCCUACAUAAGAGACAAACAAAGAUGACUGUAGAGUUGAGUGGAGGGAGGGGUUAAAGGGAGGAGUCAAACUGUGACUCAACGACCAAAAAGACAAACUUUCACAAAUGUGGUUUAUACAAGAGGAGACUCUUUAUGUUUAAAGAUGCUUUCAGUAUAUUUGAGUCAGUUUGUGACUUUGUUUCUGCUCACAUUAACAGGUGUUAUCUGUGAUGAUCUCACUCCAGUCAAGAAUGAAGUGUUCGGUUCAGAAGACAGCACUAUAACUCUGUCCUACAGAUACUCCAAGACUGUUUCUAGUCUUGAUCAUUUCUUCUGGUAUCGUCAACAUGCAGGAAAACCACCAGAGUUUAUUCUGUAUAUCUCUGGACUUAAUUCUUCAAGACCAGCAGACUCUCUCAAAUCAGACUCAGAGUUCUCGACUAAGGUGUCUGGAAAGAACCAUCUGGAUCUACAGAUCUCCUCUGCUGCACUGAAUGACUCUGCUGUGUACUACUGUGCUCUGAGGCCCACAGUGACAGGAAACACCACAACUCUGUACAAAAACCUCUGGAGAGAAGACAACACAAUACUCCACAACAUCCACUAGAGGGAGUCACACACUGAUAAACCUAUGAUUAUUUCAUUCAUGAUACAGUUGUGAUAAAACCUUUAAGGAAUUAGAGUAGUUUAAAGAGUCUCCUCCUCCUGACUGCAGAGGAGCCUGAUGACAGAGAUCUCUUUAAAUCAAGCUGUGAACAUCAGACCAAACAGCUCACCAAACUUACUCAUACUUGUUCUUCACUUACAGCGUCUCACCUCUACAAACAUGGAACAACUCACUAUUAUCUUCAUUUUAACUCUCCUGGGUAACACCUUGGAGGAUGAUAUUACUGCCAGCAGUGCUGAAGUGUUUUCAUCAGAGGGUCACAGUGUUACUCUGUCCUGUAAAUACUCAGUUAAAGCUGAUAAUCUCCAGUGGUAUCAACAAGAUCCUGGA